AUUCCUUCAGAAGUUGUAAGUAGCCGGCCUGAUACUGUUAGCUCUCUAAGGAUUUCUUCUGAUCGUCAGUUUUCAAACGAGAGCUUUGGCAGAAAGCUGAAGAUGUGGGAAACCUGGGAGCUAGUGCAGUGUGGACUUGCUGAGGACAGCCAGGAUGUAAGCAGGAAUGUUCAGUCCUUCGGGCCACUAGCACAAGAGUUUGCCUUUCAGCCAGCCAAACUUUCGGGAUCUCCUGGAGUUGCAAUGGAACCCUUGUUACUGGAUGACCCACCACAGGAUUCCCUUUGAUACGGAAGUCACUCAAGAUAAUGCCUUUGCAAUGGAAGAUGUCAACAAAGGACCAAGGCCUGCUGCAGCACAAAACUGUGGCUGUCCUGGAAGAGGGAAAGAUUGAGCCAGGAAACCUGCUUACAGAUUUGCAUACAUUCCUGUGGUGGUCCUUUUAAACAUCUGUACUACUAAGAGCUGUACCCCUCCGGGGCUGAGAAGAGAGCAGAGGUGAGAUGCGCACAGAACCGGACAGAAUGGACUGAAGGGACAGCACAGGCCGGAGAUGCUGGGGCAUAGCAUGACCAGGGCAGCAAAGGGGACCCAUUGUGUCUGGGCAUGUCUGGGUGUGUGCUUGCCUGCAGUGAAGAUCUCUGUUUCCUUUCCUACUGCUGAGAAGUCCCUGGGAAAAGCCAGGGAGCCCAGUGCUGACCCUCAGAGGCCCUCCCACCACACUCCCGCUGGACACCCACCCUCACUGGCCUGGAUAAUCCCUCCAGUUGUUGCUCCUGAUAAGUUGUGUCAAUAAAAAGGAAAGGAAAGAAAACUCGGCAAGCAGCAAAAGUGUGAACACAGCCACUGCCUGAUGCCAAGAGCUGUUGCAGCUUCGACCUGCAGAGGAAAGAGAGGCAUGGACAGCCCCGUAAUAGCUCUGAGAUUGUGUUAGUAACCCUUAUGCAAGCAUUGAUCUGUGGCUACAGCUCUAGGAUUUGAAGUCCCCAAAGGCUCUAAAAUCCAAGUAUUGUUCUGUUUAUUCAGUUUUUUUAAUGGUGGUGAAAUAUACAAUAAAGCCAUUGCCUU
rnacentral:lncRNA from 1 species